rnacentral:misc_RNA from 1 species
GAAAAACUGGAUUCUAGAAAAUUAGUGAUGGGAAACAUGUCAAUGCAUUCUAAAGUUGUCAAAGAGAAAGUCAAGAAGCAAGAGGAGCAACUUAGUAAUGACAUCAGGUCACUUUUGGUUGCAGGGACUUCUCUUUCUGCAGCUAGCAAGCGCUUGCAGGAUGAAAGUAGGUCCCUAGCUGGAGAAAGGGGUUAUGGGCAACUCAGAAC